rnacentral:rRNA from 1 species
UACGUAGGGUGCGAGCGUUUGUCCGGAAUUAUUGGGCGUAAAGAGCUCGUAGGCGGUUUGUCACGUCUGCUGUGAAAUCCCGAGGCUCAACCUCGGGCCUGCAGUGGGUACGGGCAGACUGGAGUGCGGUAGGGGGAGAAUGGAAUUCCUGGUGUAGCGGUGGAAUGCGCAGAUAUCAGGAGGAACACCGAUGGCGAAGGCAGUUCUCUGGGCCGUAACUGACGCUGAGGAGCGAAAGCGUGGGGAGCGAACAGG